CCCAUUCUCAGCUCAGCUGGUUAGGGCAUGGUGCUGAUAAUGCCAAGGUCGCGGGUUCAAGCCCCAUAUGGGA